UUGACCUCGAAUCGGGUGGGACUACCCGCUGAACUUAAGCAUAUCAAUAAGCGGAGGA
rnacentral:rRNA from 1 species